rnacentral:rRNA from 1 species
AGCAGUAGCCGCGGGAACACGAAGGGGGCUAGCGUUGUUCGGAAUUACUGGGCGUAAAGCGCACGUAGGCGGAUUGUUAAGUUAGGGGUGAAAUCCCAGGGCUCAACCCUGGAACUGCCUUUAAUACUGCAAUCUCGAGUCCGAGAGAGGUGAGUGGAAUUCCGAGUGUAGAGGUGAAAUUCGUAGAUAUUCGGAGGAACACCAGUGGCGAAGGCGGCCCCCUGGACAAAGACUGACGCUCUGGUGCGAAAGCGUGGGGAGCAAACAGGAUUAGAUACCCCGGUAGUCCCUGUCUCUUAUACA